CCAAAUAAUAGCAACAAAACUGUCCUAACGUUUUCACUGUUCUGUAAUUUUGUUUUAAUAUAGAGGAUACCCAUAAUUUCUUAACACUGGAAACAUCAUUCUGAACGAUGUAGGAAGCGGUCAGUAACGUGAAUGAUGUUAUUGUACCGUCUCCAGCUUUUUCCUUCUUCCCCCAGAUGGUCGCACCUGUGCAUACAUCCCUGUGCAUGUGGG
rnacentral:lncRNA from 1 species